rnacentral:rRNA from 1 species
GAUGAACGCUAGCGGCAGGCCUAACACAUGCAAGUCGAGGGGCAGCAUAGAUUGUGGUUUACUACAAUUGGUGGCGACCGGCGGACGGGUGCGUAACGCGUAUGUAACCUACCUUUAACAGGGGGAUAACGGAUGGAAACGUCCACUAAUACCCCAUAAUAUCGAAAGAGGCAUCUUUUUUGGUUGAAAGUUCAGGCGGUUAAAGAUGGACAUGCGUUGUAUUAGAUAGUUGGUGAGGUAACGGCUCACCAAGUCGACGAUACAUAGGGGGACUGAGAGGUUAACCCCCCACACGGGUACUGAGACACGGACCAGACUCCUACGGGAGGCAGCAGUGAGGAAUAUUGGUCAAUGGGGGCAACCCUGAACCAGCCAUGCCGCGUGCAGGAAGACGGCUCUAUGAGUUGUAAACUGCUUUUAUACAGGGAUAAUUCACGGUACGCGUACCGUGUUGAAGGUACUGUAAGAAUAAGGAUCGGCUAACUCCGUGCCAGCAGCCGCCGUAACAC